GAGUUGUAAUUUGAAGAUUGUAACCUUGGGGUUGGCUCUUGUCUAUGUUUCUUGGAACAGGACGUCACAGAGGGUGAGAAUCCCGUGCGAUGAGAUGCCCAAUCCUAUGUAAGGUGCUUUCGAAGAGUCGAGUUGUUUGGGAAUGCAGCUCUAAGUGGGUGGUAAAUUCCAUCUAAAGCUAAAUAUUGGCGAGAGACCGAUAGCGAACAAGUACAGUGAUGGAAAGAUGAAAAGAACUUUGAAAAGAGAGUGAAAAAGUACGUGAAAUUGUUGAAAGGGAAGGGUUUGAGAUCAGACUCGAUAUUUUGUGAGCCUUGCCUUCGUGGCGGGGUGACCCGCAGCUUAUCGGGCCAGCAUCGGUUUGGGCGGUAGGAUAAUGGCGUAGGAAUGUGACUUUGCUUCGGUGAAGUGUUAUAGCCUGCGUUGAUGCUGCCUGCCUAGACCGAGGACUGCGAUUUUAUCAAGGAUGCUGGCAUAAUGAUCCCAAACCGCCCGUCUUGAACCACGGACCAAA
rnacentral:rRNA from 1 species